AGUUGGCGGAUAGCUGCAGAGGCGAAAGGAACUCUACGGAAAAAUUCGGCGAUUUAAAGCACACAGAUUUAAGUUCAUUGUAACUGGGGUAAUCGAAACGAUUCCGCAGCUGAUAAAUGAUAACGUCAUCGCUUAUUUAUGCAGCGGCAGCAAAUAUGGCUGACCAAGGAACUAUUCUAUCCAAGGCCAAAAGAAUAGGUAUACUUAGUAGGUUAGUUGGUGAAUAGAAGAAAUGAUGUUCGUAUUACAAAAUGAAGAGUGAAUGCACUCAUCGAUAUUGAUUCGGUUGGAAUAAAGUAGACAUUUUUUGGGUUUUAACAAUUAUGGCAAUUCCAAUUUUAUUAGAAAAAAUGGACAAAAUUGG
rnacentral:sRNA from 1 species